GUUGGCGGCGUGGAUUAGGCAUGCAAGUCGAACGAAUCCCGGGGGGCAACUCCCGGGGGAAGUGGCGAAAGGGGCAGUAAGGCGUGGGUAACCUACCCCGGGGACCGGCAUAGCCGCCCUAACGGGCGGGUAAUUCCGGGCGACGUGGCGGGGUCGCAUGACCCUGUCACCAGAAGGUCCUCCGCCCCGGGAGGGGCCCACGUGGUAUUAGCUAGACGGCGGGGUAACGGCCCACCGUGGCCGAGAUGCCUAGCGGGUGUGAGAGCACGACCCGCGCCACUGGCACUGAGACACUGGCCAGACUCCUACGGGAGGCUGCAGUCGAGGAUCUUCGGCAAUGGGCGCAAGCCUGACCGAGCGACGCCGCGUGCGCGACGAAGGCCUUCGGGUUGUAAAGCGCUGUCGAGGGGGAGGAAAGCCGCAAGGCCUGACCUAUCCCUGGAGGAAGCACGGGCUAAGUUCGUGCCAGCAGCCGCGGUAAGACGAACCGUGCGAACGUUGUUCGGAAUCACUGGGCUUAAAGGGCGCGUAGGCGGGUGCGCAAGUCCGGGGUGAAAGCCCCCGGCUCAACCGGGGAACAGCUUCGGAUACUGCGCACCUCGAGUGGGGUAGGGGCAGACGGAACUUCCGGUGGAGCGGUGAAAUGCGUUGAUAUCGGAAGGAACGCCGGUGGCGAAAGCGGUCUGCUGGACCCCUCCUGACGCUGAGGCGCGAAAGCCAGGG
rnacentral:rRNA from 1 species